AAGGUUUUCGGAUCGUAAAACUCUGUUGUUGGAGAAGAAUGUAUCUGAUAGUAACUGAUCAGGUAGUGACGGUAUCCAACCAGAAAGCCACGGCUAACUACGUGCCAGCAGCCGCGGUAAUACGUAGGUGGCAAGCGUUGUCCGGAUUUAUUGGGCGUAAAGCGAGCGCAGGCGGUUUCUUAAGUCUGAUGUGAAAGCCUUCGGCUCAACCGAAGAAGUGCAUCGGAAACUGGGAAACUUGAGUGCAGAAGAGGACAGUGGAACUCCAUGUGUAGCGGUGAAAUGCGUAGAUAUAUGGAAGAACACCAGUGGCGAAGGCGGCUGUCUGGUCUGUAACUGACGCUGAGGCUCGAAAGCAUGGGUAGCAAACAGGAUUAGAUACCCUGGUAGUCCAUGCCGUAAACGAUGAGUGCUAGGUGUUGGAGGGUUUCCGCCCUUCAGUGCCGCAGCUAACGCAUUAAGCACUCCGCCUGGGGAGUACGACCGCAAGGUUGAAACUCAAAGGAAUUGACGGGGGCCCGCACAAGCGGUGGAGCAUGUGGUUUAAUUCGAAGCAACGCGAAGAACCUUACCAGGUCUUGACAUCCUUUGACCACUCUAGAGAUAGAGCUUUCCCUUCGGGGACAAAGUGACAGGUGGUGCAUGGUUGUCGUCAGCUCGUGUCGUGAGAUGUUGGGUUAAGUCCCGCAACGAGCGCAACCCUUAUUACUAGUUGCCAGCAUUUAGUUGGGCACUCUAGUGAGACUGCCGGUGACAAACCGGAGGAAGGUGGGGACGACGUCAAAUCAUCAUGCCCCUUAUGACCUGGGCUACACACGUGCUACAAUGGAUGGUACAACGAGUUGCGAGACCGCGAGGUUUAGCUAAUCUCUUAAAACCAUUCUCAGUUCGGAUUGUAGGCUGCAACUCGCCUACAUGAAGCCGGAAUCGCUAGUAAUCGCGGAUCAGCAUGCCGCGGUGAAUACGUUCCCGGGCCUUGUACACACCGCCCGUCACACCAUGAGAGUUUGUAACACCCAAAGCCGGUGAGGUAACCCUUCGGGGAGCCAGCCGUUCUAAG
rnacentral:rRNA from 1 species